GCCGACGUAGCUCAGUGGUCAGAGCGCUCGCCUGUCGAGCGAGAUGCCGAGGGUUCGAUUCCCUUCGCCGGCG
rnacentral:tRNA from 1 species